rnacentral:rRNA from 1 species
AAGCCUGCGAUCUGUAGCUGGUCUGAGAGGACGACCAGCCACACUGGGACUGAGACACGGCCCAGACUCCUACGGGAGGCAGCAGUGGGGAAUUUUGGACAAUGGGCGCAAGCCUGAUCCAGCCAUGCCGCGUGCGGGAAGAAGGCCUUCGGGUUGUAAACCGCUUUUGUCGGGGAAGAAAUCCUUUGGGUUAAUACCUCGGAGGGAUGACGGUACCUGAAGAAUAAGCACCGGCUAACUACGUGCCAGCAGCCGCGGUAAUACGUAGGGUGCAAGCGUUAAUCGGAAUUACUGGGCGUAAAGCGUGCGCAGGCGGUGAUGUAAGACAGAGGUGAAAUCCCCGGGCUCAACCUGGGAACUGCCUUUGUGACUGCAUCGCUGGAGUACGGCAGAGGGGGAUGGAAUUCCGCGUGUAGCAGUGAAAUGCGUAGAUAUGCGGAGGAACACCGAUGGCGAAGGCAAUCCCCUGGGCCUGUACUGACGCUCAUGCACGAAAGCGUG